GACUAGAUGGCUCAGUGGUAGAGUAUCAAGUAUAUUUAGAAGGUCUUGGGUUCAAACCCUGUUCUGGCCA